rnacentral:rRNA from 1 species
GACGAACGCUGGCGGCGUGCUUAACACAUGCAAGUCGAGCGGUAAGGCCCUUUCGGGGGUACGACGAGCGGCGAACGGGUGAGUAACACGUGGGUGACCUGCCCUCAGCUCUGGGAUAAGCCUGGGAAACCGGGUCUAAUACCGGAUAUGACUCCAUGACGCAUGUUGUGGGGUGGAAAGCCUUGUGCGGCUGAGGAUGGGCCCGCGGCCUAUCAGCUUGUUGGUGGGGUGAUGGCCUACCAAGGCGACGACGGGUAGCCGGCCUGAGAGGGCGACCGGCCACACUGGGACUGAGACACGGCCCAGACUCCUACGGGAGGCAGCAGGUGGGGAAUCUUGCGCAAUGGGCCGAAAGCCUGACGCAGCGACGCCGCGUGAGGGAUGACGGCCU